ACUCAAAUGAAUUGACGGGGACCUGCACAAGCGGUGGAGCAUGUGGUUUAAUUCGACGGUAAGCGAGGAACCUUACCAAGGCUUGACAUAUACCUGCAUACUGGAGAAAUUCAGUAGCCUUCGAGGGUGGUAUACAGGUGCUGCACGGUUGUCGUCAGCUCGUGCCGUGAGGUGUUCACUUAAGUGUGAAAACGAGCGCAACCCCUAUUGUAAGUUACAAGUGUCUUACGAAACUGCCCGCGUCUAAGCGGGAGGAAGGUGGGGAUGACGUCAAAUCAGCGUGGCUCUUACGCCUUGGGCGACACACGUGCUACAAUGGGAAGGAACAAAGGGACGCCAAAGCGCAAGCUGGAGCAAAUCCUAUCAAAACUUCCCCCAGUUCGGAUCGAGGGCUGCAACUCGCCCUCGUGAAGCCGGAAUCGCUAGUAACCGUAGAUCAGCCUCGCUACGGUGAAUACGUUCUCAGGUUUUGCACACACCGCCCGU
rnacentral:rRNA from 1 species